UUUAAUUGAAGACUUGUAUGAAUGGUUGAACGAGAAAAUAACUGUCUCUUUAAAAAAUCUUGAAUUUUACUUUUAAGUGAAAAGGCUUAAAUAAUUUUAAGGGACGAUAAGACCCUAUAAAUCUUUAUAUUAUUUUUCUUUAACUUUCAAAUUAUAUUUUAAAAGAAACAAAAGAAAAAAAAUAUUAUAUUGGGGAGAUAAAAAUAUAAUUUUUUUUAACUGUUUUAAAUAUAAAACAAUAAUUUUUGAUUUAUUAAAAAAUUGAUCCUUUUUAAAGAUUUUAAAAUUAAGUUACUUUAGGGAUAACAGCGUAAUUUUUUUUGAGAGUUCUUAUCGAAAAAAAA
rnacentral:rRNA from 1 species